rnacentral:rRNA from 1 species
UACAGAGGGGGCAAGCGUUGUUCGGAAUUACUGGGCGUAAAGGGCGCGUAGGCGGCCUGCUAAGUCGAACGUGAAAUCCCUGGGCUCAACCCAGGAACUGCGUCCGAUACUGGACGGCUUGAGUAUGGGAGAGGGAUGUAGAAUUCCAGGUGUAGCGGUGAAAUGCGUAGAUAUCUGGAGGAAUACCGGUGGCGAAGGCGGCAUCCUGGACCAUUACUGACGCUGAGGCGCGAAAGCUAGGGGAGCAAACGGG